UUCAGGAGAAGCCUGCAACUAGUGUCGCGACCACCAUGCGCGAGUAUAAACAGUUACGGCGCUCCCAUGACGUCACACUGGCGCUCGACAGGUCGGCUGUGGCAAGUAUACCCCACGUUUAAGAGAAGUGACACCAGAGAGCU